rnacentral:rRNA from 1 species
CUUUUUGACUAUACCACGUUGGAAACAUCGAUUCUCAUCUGAUCACCGAAGCUAAGGUCCCGGUUAGUGUUUGUGUGGGUGACCGGCUGGGAAUACCGGGUGUUACAGC